rnacentral:rRNA from 1 species
AGUGAACGCUGGCGGUAGGCCUAACACAUGCAAGUCGAACGGCAGCACAGUAAGAGCUUGCUCUUACGGGUGGCGAGUGGCGGACGGGUGAGGAAUACAUCGGAAUCUACUUUUUCGUGGGGGAUAACGUAGGGAAACUUACGCUAAUACCGCAUACGACCUACGGGUGAAAACAGGGGAUCUUCGGACCUUGCGCGAUUGAAUGAGCCGAUGUCGGAUUAGCUAGUUGGCGGGGUAAAGGCCCACCAAGGCGACGAUCCGUAGCUGGUCUGAGAGGAUGAUCAGCCACACUGGAACUGAGACACGGUCCAGACUCCUACGGGAGGCAGCAGUGGGGAAUAUUGGACAAUGGGCGCAAGCCUGAUCCAGCCAUACCGCGUGGGUGAAGAAGGCCUACGGGUUGUAAAGCCCUUUUGUUGGGAAAGAAAAGCAGCAGGUUAAUACCCCGCUGUUCUGACGGUACCCAAAGAAUAAGCACCGGCUAACUUCGU